GUCACACCUACUCCACUUACAGCCGGUGUCGUUAAAUGGAAUGAGCCAUUCAAUCAGGCUUGAUUCGAUGGGCCCACUACAAUACAAUGUUUGGUUCAUUGUAAUAGGCUAUUACAGUUGAAUUUGUUUAGCUUUCUAUUUCCUAAAAACGUCAAAUUUCAUUCCUUUCUUCCACUACCAAAUUGCAAUUAUAGUCACUGAAGAAUAAAGAAAAAAACCAUACUUGCCAUUAUUGCCUUUUACCACUCUCUCUCACCAAGCACCUCAAGCCACCACAUCCCGGUCCUGUUUCCUCAUUCCCGUUCGAUUUCAUGUAUCUUUCAAUUUGUGAUUUAGGGUUUGAUUUUCACUUUCUUUUGAUUUUGGGUAUCUUUCUUUUUACAUCUUCCCGUUCGAUUUUUUUUCUGUUUCCUCAUUCCCGUUCGAUUUCAGGACGAUGCAAUAGAUGAGAUCAAAGAAGCUCCCAAACGUGAGGAAGAGAAACAAGAAUGAAAUUGCCAAUCUUCAUAGUACGAUUUUACUUAUUUGGUUAUUUUUGUAUGGAGAAGUUGCUUGGUUCCACUAUCCCCUUGAUUCCCUCCAGUUACUUAUUCUUAGAUGACGCCUCUCAGUUUAUGAACUGUCAAAGCAUUGCUAAAAGUUUCUUAAGUAUUUCACUGGUUAUUACUUUUUUAGGUUUCUUGUAUGAUUAUCUCAAGAAAUUGGUUAUGAUAGAUUAGAUUUAUAUUUGAUAAACUAAUUAUACAAAUCAGAUGAUAAUACAUCAUCAAACGUUUUUAAAAAUAAA